CCUCUUCCAGUCCGGACCCGGCGGGCGGGAACGCAGGCCGAAGAAUUCCUCCGCCUCCUCCUCGUCGUCGUCGUCGACCUGCCGUGAUGGAGAUAAGAUGACAAAAAAGGCGGCUAACGGAGAUCAAGUCAAGUUUCGUGGAGAGAGGUGCCGAGAUGUGUUUUGAGUUACGACGGUGGCCUCGGAAUCACUUCGGCUCAUAUCUCAAGGAAAUCGGAACGAAUGUCUCCGUAGCGGCGGUGAGCAAAUUAAUCCUCAUCUUACCAGAUGAUGGGGACCCUCCUCGUCUUCCUCCUCCUCCUCCUCCUCGUCGCCGCCGUCGCUCAUGUCGCCGGUCGUCGGCGCGCCGUCGC